UACGAAGGGAGCUAGCGUUGUUCGGAAUUACUGGGCGUAAAGGGCGCGUAGGCGGACAUUUAAGUCAGGGGUGAAAUCCCAGGGCUCAACCCUGGAAUUGCCUUUGAUACUGGACGUCUCGAGUUCGGGAGAGGUGAGUGGAAUUCCGAGUGUAGAGGUGAAAUUCGUAGAUAUUCGGAGGAACACCAGAAGCGAAGGCGGCUCGCUGGCCCGAUACUGACGCUGAGGCGCGAAAGCGUGGGGAGCAAACAGG
rnacentral:rRNA from 1 species